rnacentral:rRNA from 1 species
UUCCGGUUGAUCCUGCCGGACCCCACUGCUAUCGGGAUGGGACUAAGACAUGCUAGUCGAGCGUCUCCAAGCUAUGGAAGAGACGCGGCACACAGCUCAGUAACACGUGGCUAACCUGCCCUUGGGACAAGGACAACUCCGGGAAACUGGGGCUAAUCCCUGAUAGGUGAGAACUCCUGGAAUGGAUUCUCGCUGAAAGGACGUUUAGACCAUGCUUCUAGGCGUCGCCCAAGGAGGGGGCCGCGACCGAUCAGGUUGUUGGUGAGGUAACGGCUCACCAAGCCUUUAACCGGUACGGGCCGUGAGAGCGGAAGCCCGGAGAUGGGCACUGAGACAAGGGCCCAGGCCCUACGGGGCGCAGCAGUCGCGAAAACUCCGCAAUACACGAAAGUGUGACGGGGCUAUCCCGAGUGCCAUCCGCUGAGGAUGGCUUUUCCCCAGUGUAUAAAGCUGGGGGAAUAAGGAGAGGGCAAGCCUGGUGUCAGCCGCCGCGGUAAUACCAGCUCUCCGAGUGGUGGGGAUGUUUAUUGGGCCUAAAGCAUUCGUAGCCUGCUUGGCAAGUCCUCCGUUAAAUCCAACGAUUCAAUCGUUGGGCUGCGGGGGAUACUGUCCAGCUAGGGGGCGGGAGAGGCCGACGGUAUCCCCGGGGUAGGGGUGAAAUCCUAUAAUCCCGGGAGGACCACCAGUGGCGAAGGCUGUCGGCUAGAACGCGCUCGACGGUGAGGGAUGAAAGCUGGGGGAGCGAACCGGAUUAGAUACCCGGGUAGUCCCAGCUGUAAACGAUGCAGGCUAGGUGUUGGCGCGGCUACGUGCCGCUCCAGUGCCGCAGGGAAGCCGUUAAGCCUGCCGCCUGGGAAGUACGGCCGCAGGCUGAAACUUAAAGGAAUUGGCGGGGGGAGCACCACAAGGUGGUGAAGCUUGCGGUUUAAUUGGAGUCACGCCGGA